GCUACCUUAGCAUAGUUGGUUAUUGUACCUGAUUCGUAAGAUUUGCGCACGAUCAGGAGGUCGCGUGUUCGAAUCACGCAGGUAGCU
rnacentral:tRNA from 1 species